UACGGAGGGUGCAAGCGUUAUCCGGAUUCACUGGGCUUAAAGGGCGCGUAGGAGGGCAGGUAAGUCAGUGGUGAAAUCCCCGUGCUUAACAUGGGAACUGCCGUUGAUACUAUCUGUCUUGAAUGCCGUGGAGAUGAGCGGAAUAUGUCAUGUAGCGGUGAAAUGCUUAGAUAUGACAUAGAACACCGAUUGCGAAGGCAGCUCGUUACACGAACAUUGACUCUGAGGCUCGAAAGCGUGGGGAUCAAACAGG
rnacentral:rRNA from 1 species